rnacentral:rRNA from 1 species
AUUGAACGCUGGCGGCAGGCCUAACACAUGCAAGUCGAGCGGGGUUUUCGGACCUAGCGGCGGACGGGUGAGUAAUGCGUAGGAAGCUACCCGAUAGUGGGGGAUAUCAGUUGGAAACGACUGUUAAUACCGCAUAAUGUCUACGGACCAAAGUGUGGGACCUUCGGGCCACAUGCUAUCGGAUGCGCCUACGUGGGAUUAGCUGGUUGGUGGGGUAAUGGCUCACCAAGGCGACGAGCCCUAGGCGGUUUGAGAGGAUGAGCAGCCAAACUGGAGCGGAGACACGGUCCAGACUCCUACGGGAGGCAGCAGUGGGGAAUAUUGGACAAUGGGCGCAAGCCUGAUCCAGCCAUGGCGCGUGUGUGAAGAAGGCCUUCGGGUUGUAAAGCACUUGCAGUAGGGAGGAAGCGUUGUGUGUUAAUUGUACACAGCGUUGACGUUACCUACAGAAGAAGCACCGGCUAACUCUGUGCCAGCCGCCGCUGUAAGAC